rnacentral:lncRNA from 1 species
UAUCAUUUCAUGAGCAACAACAACAAAAGCAUAAUUCGGGCAAAUGAAAAAUAUUCAAUGACGACAUCAUGAAACUAAAAAAUUCCAACAAGAUGGAUAGGAGGAACAAGAUUAGCCAACAAUAUUAGCUAAUCAUAUAAUAUGAAUACUGAACUGCAAAUGGUGUUCCUUCACUCCCCCUACAAAUAAUAAUAGACACCAAAUGAUAAGUUAAUAGAUAAAGGGAAAAAGGAAAGCAGAAAGUGGGCCUCCCCUCAAAUAAGCCUAUUCAGCAAUAUUUAUUAAGAAAAAAAAAAGCAUCAUUUUAAAGUCUCAAUUUUAUUCCAGAAUUGACUACAUGAAUAUGAGCAGAAGUAGACUCACGCCAAUCAAGAAUAUCAUUUAGAGAAGCGCGGGCGACAACAUGGGAGACAGGUUCCUACAAUGGAGCAUGAUCAUGAGUAGAACAUAAUCAAAUGUGCAUAAAGUAGAGUAGUCUAGCCACAACAGGUAUAAGAAAUGUCAUCGAGUACCAUUUGGUCCAUUAAGUAAGACUCUCACCACGAUAUGAUAAGAAUUUAAGAAUACAAGUGCCAUACCUUCAGAGCCAGUAAUGGUGUGAAGGCAAGAAAAGAGUCCAUCAUCCAUAAUUAACAAAUAUUAUGGCUAAUGACUUCAAUACAGUACUAUCCACAAAGGUAAAUAUAAGUAUUUAGAACAUUCCUGAUGAUUUGAGUAUUUUGAGCAGUGCGGUAGCGUCACACUUUAGAAGUAAUUUCUUCAUUCAAUUAAUAGGAAAUUGGAGGAAGAAGUAAAUAACUUUGGACUCAUAAAAAUUAUGAGGUAAAGAUUCAAAUGUAGAACAAUUACUAGCAGCAAAAAGAUUACGAACUUUACAAAUUGCUCUACAUUCCUUUUGAGUGCGCUUUACACAUGUUUUUUCUGCCAUGUUUUAGCUUCAGGAUACAUAGAAACUAAGUGACAAUUGUGCAAACCUUACCUUAUUCUCUUGACCACCAAAGAAAUGCUACAACCUG